UUACGGCCAUAACACGUCAAAACACCGGGUCCUGUACGUUCACUGAUGUUAAGCAACGUCCAGCCUGGUCAGUCCUUAGAUGGGUGACCGCUUGGCAUAUCAGAUGCUGUAA